AAUGUUUGUUAUCUGAUUAUGUGUGCACUAGGGUAGAAGUGAAAAUGUUUGACGAUCUCUCAAGCCAGAGGGAACAUUUAAAAAGGAAGGAUCCUUGUAGAUGCUAGAUGUAAUGAAAAUAUGUUUCCAAAUCACCAAAGCCAAGAGUUUAGUAGAAGCGACACAAUUUUUCCCUGCUUCAUCUUUGUAGAGUGUCUAGAGGCUUCCCACAUUCCUUGACUGGUGACCUUCUCCUCCAUCUUCAAAGCCAGCAACGGUGGCCGGGAUUCUUCUCACAUUACAUCUGACCUCCUCUUCUGCACCCCCACUUCUACUUUUAAGGACCCUUGUGAUUACACUGAGUGCAUCUGGAUAAUAUAGGAUAAUCUCCAUAUUUUAAGGACAGCUUGUUAGUAAACUUUAUCCCAUCUGCAACCUUAAUUUUCCUUUGCCAUUUAAAGUAACAUAUUCACAGAUUCCAGGGUUGAGAACAUGGAU